AUUGAACGCUGGCGGCAGGCCUAACACAUGCAAGUCGAACGAGUGGCGGACGGGUGAGUAAUGUCUGGGAAACUGCCUGAUGGAGGGGGAUAACUACUGGAAACGGUAGCUAAUACCGCAUAACAUCAGUUGUGCCCAGAUGGGAUGAGCUAGUUGGUGGGGUAACGGCUCACCAAGGCGACGAUCCCUAGCUGGUCUGAGAGGAGGACCAGCCACACUGGAACUGAGACACGGUCCAGACUCCUACGGGAGGCAGCAGUGGGGAAUAUUGCGCAAUGGACGCAAGCCUGACGCAGCCAUGCCGCGUGUAUGAAGAAGGUCUUCGGAUUGUAAAGAUCUUUCGUCGGGGAGGCGUUACCCGCAGAAGAAGCAACGGCUAACUCCGUGCCAGCCGCCGCGGUAAUUC
rnacentral:rRNA from 1 species